GGGGCUCUGGGGGGCCUUGGAGGGCUCUAAGGGGCACUGCUGGGCACCUGGAGGCUCUUAGGGGCACUGGAAGGCUCUGAGGGGCACUCGGCGACUCUGGGGGAUACUGGGGGGCAUUGGGGAGCUCUGAAUUGCAUUGGGGGGCUCUCGUGGGCUCUGAGGGGCAUGGGGGCUCUGGGGUGUAUUGGGGGCUCUGAGAAGCACUGGGGGCCCGAGGGGGCACUGGGGUGCCUUAGGGGGCUCUGAGGGGUACUGGUGGGCACUGGGGGGCUCAGAGGGACACUGGAGAGAGCACUUGGGGGGCUCUGAGGAGCACUGGGGUCCCUGGGGGGCUCUGAGGUGCACUGGGGAGCACUGGGGGACUGAGGGGCACUGGGAGGCUCUGGGGAGAACUGGGGGCUCUGGGGGGCACUGGGGUGCUCUGAGUGGCACUGGGGGACAUUGAGGGGCUCAUUGGGGUAUUGUGGAAGCUGGAGGCACUGAGGGGCUCUGGGGGGUGCUGGGAGGCGCUGGAGGUCUGGGGAGCAUUAUGUGGCACUGGGGGGAUCUGGGGUUUUCUGAGGGGCUCUUAGGGGCACUGGGGGGCUCUGAGGGGCCACUUUUCUCCCCAACAUAUGACAUUUUCUCCCAGAAUUGCCACUUUUCUCCCAACAUAUGACAUUUUGGCAAAUGGUAUCCUGGGCUCCAUCAAAAGAGGGGUGGCCAGCAGGGACAGAAAGGUGAUUGUUCCCCUCUACUCUGCUCUUGUGAGGCCCCAUCUGGAAUACUGCGCCCAGGUCUGGAGACCCCAUUACAAGAAAGACAGGGAGCUGUUGGAGAGGGUCCAGAGGAGGGCCACGAAGAUGAUCAGGGGACUGGAGCACCUCCCCUAUGAGGACAGGCAGAAAGAGCUGGGCUUGUUCAGCCUGGAGAAAAGAAGGCUGCGGGGUGACCUCAUUGCAGCCUUUCAGUACCUACAGGGAGCCUACAAACAGGAGGGAAAUCAACUCUUUGAAAGGGUUGAUGGGGUUUAAGGAUGUAUGGGAACUGCUGAGUCAUGGCCUGAACCUCUGAUUAGUCACCUGAGGCGAGCAAUGAGUCAGCCCUGGGAGCACAGGUGAAAGCAAUUCACCUGUGCUGCAGGAAGGGGUGGAGCCUGGCUGCACCUUUCCUAGACCCAUUUAAGAGCUGACUACCAUUGGGGAAGGAUCUCUCUCUCUUCGGAAGAUCCACUCCACUGGAGUUUCCUGAGCGAGCCCACGACACGGGUAAGCCUCCUAUUUAUUCUCUUUGUCUCGCUGUGCCUAACUCUCUUGCUUAUUUCAUUAUUAUAACAUCUUAAUAUUAUUUGAUUAUAUAAUAUUCCUUUAUAUAAUUUUCAUUGAUUAUACAAAGGAUUGCCAGGGUUCCUCUAAUCAGCAGUGUGAGAACUGUGGAGCAGAUAAUGAAACAUCACGAGCCCCAUGUUGGUGCAUUGCUUGUAUGCAGGCAUGUUUGUGAUGACUGUGGGGAAACUCACUUAAGGCUCAAGUAGUGUUAAAAGGGGCUUGCUUCACUCCACGGGUUCUGUGCUCCCAUCCCAAUGAGCUCCAUGGCUGCUGAUAGAGUGAGGUGCAUCAGCUGGCACCCGAAGAACACUCCCAAACCCCAGUGGCCAUUUGCUUCAUCCUCGCUCAGUAUAAUACAGUCUGCACUGCUUGAGCAUACUGACCACAUGCGUUCUGUUCAUAUUUUAUGAUUGUCUCUGAUAUUUCCCUUACAGAUUUGUCAGCGAUAAUGGAUUCCAGGGCAUCGUUGUCAGGGCACAUUGUGGCCAACCACCCCAGGGUCCUACAGCUCUUUCUGUUUUAAUGGCAGAUCUGGCUUUGUGAUAAUAAAAAAGAAAGGAUUGUCCUCUUCUGGAUGACU
ensembl:lncRNA